CCCGCACAAGCGGCGGAGCAUACGGAUUAAUUCGAUGCAACGCGAAGAACCUUACCAAGGCUUGACAUACACCGGUAACGCCCAGAGAUGGGUGCCCCUUUGUGGUCGGUGGACAGGUGGUGCAUGGUUGUCGUCAGCUCGUGUCGUGAGAUGUUGGGUUAAGUCCCGCAACGAGCGCAACCCUCGUCCUAUGUUGCCAGCGGGUCAUGCCGGGGACUCAUGGGAGACUGCCGGGGUCAACUCGGAGGAAGGUGGGAUGACGUCAAAUCAUCAUGCCCCUUAUGUCUUGGGCUUCACGCAUGCUACAAUGGCCGGUACAAAGGGCUGCGAUACCGCGAGGUGGAGCGAAUCCCAGAAAGCCGGUCUCAGUUCGGAUUGGGGUCUGCAACUCGACCCCAUGAAGUCGGAGUCGCUAGUAAUCGCAGAUCAGCAACGCUGCGGUGAAUACGUUCCCGGGCCUU
rnacentral:rRNA from 1 species